CGGACGGGUGAGUAAUGUCUGGGAAACUGCCCGAUGGAGGGGGAUAACUACUGGAAACGGUAGCUAAUACCGCAUAACGUCGCAAGACCAAAGAGGGGACCUUAGGGCCUCUUGCCAUCGGAUGUGCCCAGAUGAGAUUAGCUAGUAGGUGGGGUAAUGGCUCACCUAGGCGACGAUCCCUAGCUGGUCUGAGAGGAUGACCAGCCACACUGGAACUGAGACACGGUCCAG
rnacentral:rRNA from 1 species